UAUUUCCCUUCGAAGAAACGGACCACAUCUCCAAAAUUCCAAAACAUGAAGGAUAAAAAGAAAAUCGGUCAAAUCUUGGUCGUCAAUCUCUAAUCGUGAAAAUCUAACCGUCCAGAGACUCUUUCCCCCUAUAAAAUCAACCAUUAGCCCCCACAUUGCGUCAGAUGCUUCCAGAUCUCGGUGUUACGAACCAGAAAAAAGGGCACAAAGAUUUCAAAGCAAUUUAAUCUAAAUUUUUGGUUUUAGAUUGAAAAACGAAAAAAGCUAAAGAAAUUAACGGAUCAAUAUUUCGUUUGAAUCUGGCGACAAACUUCAACUCUGAAACUGCAAAAUUAGGGUUUCUUCUUUCAUUCUAGAUUUCUUUGAUUUCGUUUCUUUUGUUUUUAAAAAAUGAAUGAUCAGUCUCAGAUGAUGAAUCAGCCACCGCAAAUGAUGAUGAACCCGGUUCAUGUUCAAGUUCCGGUUCAGCAUCAGAUGAUGAAUCAGUCUCAUCAAUUGAUGGCGGCGGCUCACUCUCAGUCGAUGAACCAAUCGGCGGCGGCUCAGUCGCAGCCGAUAAGCUCAGGUCCUCAGAUGAUAAACCAGGCACCUCCCCAGAUGAUGUUGACUCGAAGCUACAAGCCUUGGCAAUAUCCGGACGCAAAUCCUAACCCUAACUCGAACAAGAAAUUCCCCUCUUUCAAUCGUAAUAACAAUUGGAAGGGCAAAAAUGUUUCCGCCGGUAAAGAUUCUAGAAAGUUCGAUAAUAAGCCUUUAUCCAUGGGUUCUGUUUCUGGUAUUUCUUCUGUUUCCGCUGCUUCGGGUGGUAGUACACAAGGGUACAAACCUCCAACUCUUAACGAGCUCCAAUCUCAGAAUCGGUUAAAAGCCAGAAAAUUCUACGGCAACAAGAAGAAAUUCAGCAACAACAACAAUAACAACAACAACCGCUUUGCUCCUUACGCGCCGCGGAAUACAACUUCGUUUAUAAUACGAGCGAAAAAGUCGGGUGGGAUAGCGUCCUUAGUGUCCCCAUAUCCGGUGACGCCUGCGGUGCUUCCUACGCCAAUCUUUUCACCGUCGAGGGAGGUUUUGGGUGAUAUGGCCAAGGAAGAAUGGGGUGUGGAUGGUUAUGGGUCGAUGAAAGGGUUGAUUCGGCUUCGAUCACCAGAAGUUGGUCAUUAUGAUGAGGAAGAUGAGGACGGGGGACAUGGUGGAGGAUCAAGUGACAGCGAUGUGGAAGAACACGUGGAAGUGGAGAGGAGAUUGGACCAUGAUUUGAGUAGGUUUGAGAUGAUAUAUCCAAGUUAUGGAGGUGAUUAUAACAAUGUUUUGGAGAAUAGAGUGGAUGAUCAAGAUACCCAUAUAGCUCAGUUGGAAGAAGAGAAUUUGACAUUGAAGGAAAGGCUGUUCUUAAUGGAGAGGGAAUUGGGGGAUUUGAGGAGGAGGUUACAGUUUUUAGAGAGGCAGAGUCAGGUACCUGAAGAUGUUAACGAGGAGGUUGUGGAGAAUGGGUCUGAUAAUGAAAGUGAGGGUGGUGGUUCUGAUGUUAGGGUGGUUACUGGUCUUCCUGAUCAUAACAAUGUGGAAAUUGUUAAGUUUGCUGCUGGAAAUACUAGAAAUGUAGAUGUUAUGCACGAGGAUAAUAAUGGUGAUAUGCCAAGGAGUGAAGGUAUAAGGGAUGUUUGUAUGGAUGAGAUUGCAGCGGCUGAUGCUGUUGCAGGAGAAGAUGAGCUAAAGAAUGAAGGAAGAGGGGAUGAUGGAUUAAAGGGUCAAACUUUUAGGGAGGAAAUAGUUCGAGACAAGGAAAAUGAGGCCCCAGGCGAUGAAGCAGGUGGAACUGAGUUUGUGGGGGAGAAGAUUGUUGAAGAAGAGAAAGAUGAGUCGAGGCGUGAAGAAGCUAGGAAUGAAGCUGCUGACAACAAUGAAACAGAGUAUGAGGAAUUGCACUUGUGAAGAACAUUGGCGACGGUGGCUAGUAGUUUAACUUACCCGUGAUAAUGGCUCGGUAACCACGUUGAACCUUCCCCUUCCCCUUCAGAAGGGGUUUUCCCAGAUGGAAGAGGUGGGAUAAAAGCUGGAAAUGCUUUGGCUUUCCUGGGGCAAUUUAGAUGGCCUUACCUUUCCUCUGAACAAAUACGGUUGUGGGCUUGUAUAAGCUAGUUCAUAAUUUUUUUGGGAAUGGCAAAUGACUAGGAAGGAGGAUAUUUGCGGAUUGCAGGUAUAGGAACUGGAAUGGUGAAGGAUCUCUAAACGAGUACGCUUGCUCGAUGCCUGAAUAAAGGUGGUGCAUGCGUUUCCACAAACAGAGCCCAGUCUCACAACUCCUGCACUUGCGUCAGUCGGCAUUAAAGCACCUUCCUCUGUUAGGCAUCAUAGACUUGGCCAUUCUUCUAUAAGUUGUCAGUAAAUAAUCUUUACCUUGUUCCUCUUCCAUGUCUCCUAGUUUGUGUAAUUCCUGAUGUGAAGUUGAAACUCUUUCUCGUAAACAGACAUGGGAUUUAAUUCCUCCUCCUCCUAGUAGGAUAAUAGUAGGAUACAAAUGGGUUUUCAGGGUGAAAAGGAAUCCAUAUGGUACUGUCUCAAGGUAGAAGGCUAGAUUAGUUGCUAAAGGGUUCAACUGGAGACCUGGUUUGAAUUAUUCUGAGACGUUUAUCUUAUUAUUAAGCCUGUGACAGUAAGAUUGGUUUUAUGCACAGCUGUUUCAAAGGGCUGGCCUCAUCAUCAAUUAGAUGUUAAUAAUGCUUUUCUACAAGGGAUUUAUCAGAAGAGGUAUAUAUGAAGCAACCACCAGUUUUUACUGACAAGAACAGGACUAAUUUUGUUUGUAAACAUAAAAAGGUCAUUUACGGUCUGAAAUAAGCCCCAAGUGAGCCUUGAGUUUAUAGCUUUCUUCAAGCUCUGUUUGACAUUUCUAUCGAGGAUCUAGGCAAUUUGAACUAUUUGCUUGGAGUUGAAGUUAUCGCCAGUUCUAUAGGACUGUUUCUUUCCCAACACAAGUAUACUAUUGAUAUCCCAGACAUGACCAACACGAUUGGUGCUAAAGAAGCAACUACUCCUCUUUCUACUUCAGUCUCACUUAGUUUAUUUGAUGGUUCUCCUGCUGCAAAGAAAGACGAUUUCAGAAAAAUUGUUGGUGCUUUGCAAUCCUUAUGUUUCACCCGUCUUGAUCUAAGCUUUGCUAUUAACAAACUCUCCCAGUUCAUGCAUAAACCAACACAAACACGUUACACAUCACAUAAAAGAGUUUUCGUUUAUCUAAAAGGAACUUCGUUUCAUGGUCUCUUUAUCAAGAAGGUAGCUUAGCUCCCUUGCAACUUACUGUAU